AAACACCGAGCUCCCCCUGAGUCGCCUGGGAGCAGGGAGGGUUCUGCUACCCUGAGGGGCCCUCCCCGCGGGGCAGAGGGUGGGAGGAAGUCACAGCAUCUACUUCUGAAUCUGUGCUUGCCUUGAGGAACAACGGCAUGACACAAGAAUGUGGACGCUUUCAACCAGAGGAUUCUGUACGACAGUGUCGGCACACAAGGAGUGUUCCACUGACUGACCUCUUUUUGUUUUCAAAUGAAGAGGAGCCAAGAAUAGGACAGCUUGGGAAGCUCAUCUUCGUCUACGGCCAAACGUUGGUUUCUCAUUUCUAGAAGAUGAAAGAUGUGAUGACUCAGGAAAAACUGGAAUCUUAGUAACUGUGGUGGGCAUUGAGCCUUGCCAUCCACAAGAGAAAGCUUGCUGCUCGAGAUGUGAGUCUUCAGAUGUUCCUGCCGCCAUAUCUGACAGCUGCUGCCAAGAUUCCCUGGUGGGAUGGACUCUUAUACCUCGACAACCAGAAGCCCAAGUAAACUCUUCUAUAAAUUGAAUGACUCAUGCUU
rnacentral:lncRNA from 1 species